UACGUAGGGUCCGAGCGUUGUCCGGAUUUAUUGGGCGUAAAGAGCUCGUAGGCGGUUCCGUAAGUCGGAUGUGAAAACUCAGGGCUCAACCCGGAGACGACAUCUGAUACUGCGGUGACUGGAGUCUGGUAAGGGAUCACGGAAUUCCUGGUGUAGCGGUGAAAUGCGCAGAUAUCAGGAGGAACACCGAUGGCGAAGGCAGUGAUCUGGGCCAGUACUGACGCUGGGGAGCGAAAGCGUGGGGAGCAAACAGG
rnacentral:rRNA from 1 species